AGCUUGCCUUCGUCGUAUAUAACUGGCGUGAGACUGAGAAUAUAAGUACUUUUUCAUUCAUGAGAAAUGUGCAAGUAUAGUCAAGAACUUGAAGCUGCUGCUAUAAGCAGAUCAAAGGGGAUGAAGAUUAUUGACACGCCACCACUUCACGCCUCUUCUCUUCUUGUCUUCACUGCACAGCCAGAGGGUGCUGCUUAAUUGGCCGUGCAAGCAAGAAGUGGGUUGCUUCUUGCCUCCUAGUCGAGGGACAAGUACUCCUUUGCCUUUACGUGCAUGGUAAGUGAGUUUCCAACAGCUUCAACAAAAAUAACCAAAUUAAACCCAAUCCUUACUGCUAUUACUAUUGCUGCUGUUACUAUAUAUUGCACUUAUUAUUAACUUCUCUCUUACAACUCUUGGACCCAAUAGUUUGUCGCCGGUUGCCACUUGCAUGCUGGAAUUUUGUAAGCUCUCCUUGCAUUUUAAGAAAAUAGAAAUGAUUAUCUUUA